rnacentral:rRNA from 1 species
GUCCACGCCGUAAACGAUGGGCACUAGGUGUGGGAGGUGUCGACUCCUCCCGUGCCGACGCUAACGCAUUAAGUGCCCCGCCUGGGGAGUACGGCCGCAAGGCUAAAACUCAAAGGAAUUGACGGGGACCCGCACAAGCAGCGGAGCAUGUGGUUUAAUUCGACGCAACGCGAAGAACCUUACCUGGGCUUGACAUGUUGGUGACAGGUGUGGAAACACACUCUUCCUUCGGGACACCAUCACAGGUGGUGCAUGGCUGUCGU